UUAAAUGGAUGAAAUAUGAAGUUUUAUUAAAAGAAAAAGGGGUGAAAAGAACAAAGUUUUGUCCAUCUUUGUUCAUCAUAGCUGAAAGUUAGAGAAGAGAAAGGAAAGGAGAAAGCUCUUGAGUAUUCGGUCAUUAGGAGGAGGAAAAUUGAAGGUAAGUUCUUGGUACCUUGCUUCUAUUUUGAGGUUCAUGAGUUCUUCUUGAUUCUACCUUAAUUCUUGAAGUAUAUUUUGAUUUUUAGUUGUGUUGUGAGCAUUUAGUCAUGAAUUAAAAUGAAGGAAAUGGUUGUUGUUUCAUGUUCUUUUGAUGAAAAAUGGAAGAUAGGUGAAGUUGAGCCAAACAAAUGAGCAUGCAUGUGCCUUAGAUGCUAAAGGGAAAAAUCGGCUAACAUGUUGUGCUUUAAAAUGAUGAAAUGGAGAUUAUACUUAAGUAAAAGCAUAGAUAUGUGAUGAUUUAUUGGUGAUAUACAGGUUUAAAUAACAUGCAUGCAAGGUAUGUGUGAAAGAGUGAUUUGGUAAUAAAUCUGCUUGGGACAGCAGCAGUAACGUGACUUUGGAAAAUCACCAUAAAUUGUGGGAGAUGAAUUAGAAGCUGAAUAAAUUAUGUAAUUAAAGCUUAAUGAGUCUAGUUUCAAAUGGAAUAAACGAGAAAAUAUUUUGAAUUCUGUACAAUUAGAAAUUUGAUUCGUAAUGAAGAGUAGUCAGAUUAGUCAAACAAUGAAACAUGGGAAACUUUAAGAAAAAUCUGGUAUUGAUUGGCCAUACCAAAAAUUCUGAAAAUUUUAUGGAUAAAAGAUAUAUGAGUAUAUUUUUAGGGAAAAUUAACCUCACUUGAUUUGGAGUUUCGUAGGUCCAGUUAUAAAUAAUUUAGUGACUGUUGCUCAGGAAGAUAGCUUGCAGUGCAAUUAUGAUUAUGUAGUAAACAUUGACAAAAAUUUGUUAAUGAGUUGCUUAUUGAUUUCUUAUAAGCUUACUAUGAUCUGUAGGUGUGGUUGGCCGAAUAUUGUAAGGGGUUAAUACGUAGUUUGUAUUUGAAUAGUUAGAUUAACGUGUUAGUAAUCCAAUUGUAGGCGGUUUGUGUGUGGAUCUUGUCAGCAUAUCGUCGCAAACAGGUGUGUAACUGACACCUUCUCAUAGACUAGAUUGGCAAAAGCCGAAAUGCCGAAAUGCCGAAAAUUCGGUAUUUUGGGAAUUUGCGAGUGUGCGAAUGCUCGUAAGAUAGUUGGGUUUGUAUAUUUGGUAAUCUAAAAUAAUAAACUGCAGUACGCGCGAUUUCGUACAUUUUGAUAAUUUGGGCUUAAUAGGCUAAAGAUCGGGUUCAUGGGCCAACGGGCCCAAUUCGGUAAGUAUGCGCGGUAAGUGUUCUGAUAGUACGUAAAUAGUUAAGAUAUGCAUGAAAACGCUAAAAGUAGCUAAAUUACUAUAAUACCCCUAUGUAUGGAAAAUUACUGUUAUACCCCCUAGGUGUAAAAUUACCGUUAUACCCCUAGGGUUAAUUUUGACUGAAAAGCAUGACGAUCUGAUUCUGUAUGAUGUAUGCCAUGAUUAUAUAUCUGUUGCACGGGGACAUGGGUUAUAUUAUGGAGGAAGCGUUCUGGUGGCUAUGCCACAAAUAUCUGAUCUGGUGGCUCUGCCACGAUUAUCUGUAUCUGGUGACUCUGUCACAUUAUCUGUUCUGGCAGCCAUGCUGCAAAUUCUGUGGUGUAUAGUGGUUGGGUGGGUCGAGUUGUCUCCCCACACGGUGUAAGGUUGGUACGGGGGUGUAUACGGUUGGAUAUGGUUGGGUUUCUGCAUAAACAUGUAAUAUCUGUUCUGUUCUGUUAUGGGCCUAUGGGCUUUAUUUUGAAUUCUGUUCUGGGCUAAGGCCAACUUAUUCUAUUUCUGUGGUUUAAGCUGAUAUAGGCUAUGGUUGGGUUAAUUUACACACUGAGUUUCCCCAAACUCACCCCUUUUAUUUUCAUCCACGCAGGUAAUCCCCAACCAUAGUGGGCUUGGAGCUGUGAGGGAAUUCGGAGUGGCCACCUGUUCUGAAAGUUUGAUUUUCUUCUGGUGAACUGGACAUCCUUUUAUUUAUGUUUGAAGUUUUGGGUUUUUAAAUGUAAUAAGGCCGCUUAUUUAUUUUUGAUGGUUUUUUUAUAUGUAUUACUAAGAUAGGUAAUACUUAUUUUAACUGUUGAAAUUGGAUAGCUUUAGGACGCGUUUUCAAAAACAACAGUUGAUUUCAAAAUAACACGACAACUAGCAAAGCUUCCGCAAUGAAAGUAUUUUCCAAAAUUAAUCACUUUUCCUAAAAAUGACUUAAUCAAAUCCGUCUCCUAGAAAU
rnacentral:lncRNA from 1 species